rnacentral:lncRNA from 1 species
UUGAUUUGAUAAGUUUAAGCAAGAUAAACAAAAAACAAGCCAAGCAGACAUAAUAUAACAAUAAAUAUAUGCGUGGACUGAAGCUUUUGUCAACCGGUCAAUUUUGCUUAAUCGUGAUUGUCUAGGAAAAAAAUAAGAAUGAGAAUAAUUCGAGUCACGAGCCAUACGUCAGGGUCUCGAAUUAUUCGGGGAAGAAAGCCAUACGUCAGACUAACCCUUUUUCAUUCCAUUUAUUUUAAUUGUGGGGUUUUUCAAGUAAAGAAGUGCGUUUGAGAAACAAACUUGAAAUAAAAGUAUUAAGUCAAGUAAACAAUCCAAACAUUGCAUAUGAACUUAUUAAAAUAAGUUUGAGAGGUUUUGAUUAAUUAAUCACCUAAUUAAUAAUCACUUAUUUAAGUGUUUAACCAUUUAAGCACUUAGNN